rnacentral:lncRNA from 1 species
UAUAAUCUAAACCAGCCAGGGCAGGAACUGCAGAUUGGAGAAGGCGACAGGAAAGCGGCACCACGUCCCACUGGGAUCUCUUUCAGCAACUGAGAGUUUUGUUUUCCUGGUAUAAAAUAUAGAAAUAGUGGUUGUUCUCAGUGAAUUUCGGCUCGGUGCUGGACCUCUCUCUCUCUCUCUCUCUCUCUCUCUCUCUCUCUCUCUCUCUCUCUCUCUCUCUCCACAGAGCCUAUCGGUGUCCCUGAGGGCAAGGGUGGAGGAGAGCACUGCUCAGAGCUGUCCUAAGGCCAUCCGCAGGUUUUUGAUCUCUAGUUCCAGCUGCUUGGUCUGGACUUCUCUCUGGAUUAACAGCUCCCGGAGCCUCCGGAUCUCCUCCUGUUGCCGGUAGAACAUCUGCAGCAGCUGUGAAGCACAGUGAAGAGGGAGAGGUCAUCUGGGUGGCCGGGAUAGGCCACAGCACAGAGGCUGAGGCACACACUUCUGACUUGGUGACAGCCGUUAAAUUAUUAGCAAGGGACAGUCACUUCUGAGCCGUGACGAAAGCCUUGCUUGCUUUACCCAACAGUGAAGUUCCGGUAGCUUGUUUGUAUUCUAUUUGUCCUUCCCAGAUCCCUGAGGGGUAGAGCAAAGGCUCUUUGGACCGGAAGCCUGAAAACUUUUUUUUUUCUUCCCCAUCACAGGACUCUAUUCAAUUUUAACAAUGCAGCAGGAUCUAGAAUCACCUAUGGAGUUUCUAGAUUGAUCCAUCCUAACUGUGGGUAGCAUUAACAAAUGGGAUGAGAUCCUGGGCUGAAAGCUGAGUGCCAGCAUCUAUCUCUGUCCGCCUCCAGCUUGUGGAUACCAUGUAACCCGCUGCCCUAAGCUCCUGCUGCUGCCUUCCUUCACCAUGCUGGGCUGUGCCCUGGAACUGUGAACCCAAAUAAACUUCCUUUAAGUUGCUCCUGCCAAGUGCUUUGUAGCAGCAGCAGCAGCAGCAACAACAACAACAAUAAAAAGUUGUUAACACACAGGCAAGUUA